UUUGUCUCUCUAUAUCUAAGCGAAACAACCCCCUAUUCUCCCUAACCCUUUCCUCAAAGCUUUUCUCCAUACCCACUUCCUGUAAGUUCUUUGCGGCCACACCUUCGUCUCCAGUUGUCACAAAACUUUCCCUUUCAUUAGAUUCAUAGUUGGAUGAUGAUUUAUCAACCGGUGUUGACGAACUACUGGAGCAGAAAUUUUCCUCUGAACUUAAACUCUUCGUGUGUAGUUUGUCGUUUAGUGUUGAUAACCAACUCUUGCUCUGUUGUUUGCACGCUCCGGAAAUGUGGAGGUCGUCGAGGUAUGAUUUACUGUUUUCAACCAAAUUUUCGUUCGAUUUCUUGUAGAAGAAUGUUAUUCUGCAUGUUUCCAGAGAUAUUCACUGAUUUUUAACUUAAUUCAGUUCAUUAUGAUUAGGAGUUUGAAGUUUUUGUGUGCUUUGAGACCUAAAUUUGUUGUUUCUAAACCCUUGGCUCAACUGUUCUUCCACGACUUGAACACCUUGCCGAAAAUUCACACACACUAAUAACCAUUAUCGACAUUCCCUACAUCAACUUCAGCAUCUUCUUGUUUGUAGUUGGAAGCACUAAUAAUGGUAUUGCCACUUGCUAGUGUCCCUUGAAUCACAUUAGGGUUUCCUUUGACCACCUGACUCUAAGGAUUCAGGUGAUUCGAUUAUUAUCUACAAAGACCUCAUAAAUUUUCUCACAAGUUUGUUCAUUAAGUAAUAAAUAUUUCCAUAUUCAUGCUAUAAGUACUUAGUACCAAAGGAAUCUUGGUUACCUUAUCAUUACACAUAAUUUUAACUUUUCUUAUUGAAAUGUUUUUCUACCAUGGCAAAGAAGUUAUGGAGAGUAGGUGUAUCUUUUGUUUUAUCAUCAAGCAAAUAAUUUAAAUAAAUAUAAACCCCUUAGGAAUAAUCAUCAAAUCACAAUGAAUUAAUUCAAAAUUAUGAGUUUCUUUUUUGUGUGUUUUGCUCUAAUAAGCACUUGUCAUUAUCUUUUUUCACUCGCUUCAUUCUGGAUCCUCGAUGUAUAAUCUUGUAUAAAGCAUAUAUCUUGUUAACGAUUGUGACAAAAUAAUUAUUUUUUUGCAUGUCAAUACACAUAUUUCUUUCAAGCAAUAUUCUAUUAAUGGAGUUAUCUUUGAAAAUAUCUAGAAUAUGACUUUUUUUCUAGAUAGUGUCCAUUCAUUUCUUGUCUCCUCAUAUUGCGGAAGGACUCAAUUUCACAUAUAAAUAGGUAGGUUCCUCUAAUUAGUCAUUUGUAUUCAUCACUUCUGAGAAAGCCAAAGUGUUUUAUGAUAAAGAUAGUGGUAGAUCUAACUUCUAAGAUCAAAGGGUUUUGGAUUUGUGACUUAUACUUCUCUUGAUGAGGUCUAUAGUGCAGUUGAAUCACUUGAUGGUGUUGUAACUUCACUCCUUACUCUUUAGCUUCUUCUAUCACCACGUUUUAGUUUCUUUUGUGACAAUUUUUAAUGGUUUCUUUUGCAGGAUCUUGAUGAUAGAAAUAUCAGAGUUAGUGUUGCUAUACCUCCACAAAGGCAACAAAUUUAAACAGUCUUGUGUAUAAACUAUACAGUGUUAAAAUUUGUGUGUGUUUUGAGGUUGAAUGACAUUUCAUUAAGUAGAUAAAUUCGAUUGGGGUGUUCAUGGUGAAUGGUGUACAUAUAUAACAAUUAGGUUUGUGAUUCCACCAACAGUUUGAUAAAAUGUCUGACAGGACCCCUAUUUCAAACCAUCUGGUUUGUGAUAAAUGCUCGUGAGUCUCAACAUGUAUAAAGACGAUUGAACUAUUCGAUAAAAUGCUUGAGAGAAACUCUGUCUCAUUGACAAUUGAGUUUGGUAAACCUCCAACAGUUCCCUGAAAACAGUCUUCAAACCAUCAUAUUCAUAUGUUUGAACCUAAAGCAUGUGUCUUGGUGAUUAAACAAAGUGUUUGACAAAAUGCCUAAGUGAACCUCUACUGUAUUGGUGAUUUUAAUGUCAUCAAACAUUUUAUGCGAUUGAUAUUUUUGAAAGUAUAGGUUGUACUCAAAUACAAGUUAAGUGAUAUGUAUUGUACACUAGUAUAAUUGAUCGGGUACAUAAAAGUGGUGGGG
rnacentral:lncRNA from 1 species